rnacentral:rRNA from 1 species
AACGAACGCUGGCGGCGUGGAUUAGGCAUGCAAGUCGAACGAGAAAGGGUUCGCAAGAACCCGAGUAAAGUGGCGAAAGGGUGAGUAGUACCUAGGUAACCUGCCCUGAAGACGGGGAUAACGUCUCUAACGGGACGCUAAUACCCGAUGUGUCGGCGCGGCCGCAUGGUCGUGCCGGUAAAAGGUAGCCUCUGUUUACAAGCUUCCGCUUCUGGAGGGGCCUCGGGCCUAUCAGUUAGUUGGCGGGGU